CACUUCGGUGCUAGUGGCAGACGGGUGAGUAACACGUGGGAACGUACCUUUCGGUUCGGAAUAAUUCAGGGAAACUUGGACUAAUACCGGAUACGCCCUUCGGGGGAAAGAUUUAUCGCCGAUAGAUCGGCCCGCGUCUGAUUAGCUAGUUGGUGAGGUAAUGGCUCACCAAGGCGACGAUCAGUAGCUGGUCUGAGAGGAUGAUCAGCCACAUUGGGACUGAGACACGGCCCAAACUCCUACGGGAGGCAGCAGUGGGGAAUAUUGGACAAUGGGCGCAAGCCUGAUCCAGCCAUGCCGCGUGAGUGAUGAAGGCCUUAGGGUUGUAAAGCUCUUUUGUCCGGGAAGAUAAUGACUGUACCGGAAGAAUAAGCCCCGGCUAACUUCGUGCCAGCAGCCGCGGUAAUACGAAGGGGGCUAGCGUUGCUCGGAAUCACUGGGCGUAAAGGGCGCGUAGGCGGACUCUUAAGUCGGGGGUGAAAGCCCAGGGCUCAACCCUGGAAUUGCCUUCCAUACUGAGAGUCUUGACUUCCCAAUAGGUUGGUGGAACUGCGAGUGU
rnacentral:rRNA from 1 species